AACGAAAAAUGUAUUCAUUCGUAGAGCCAACAGUGAAGACGUUCAGAGCUAAUCCAUGACCUCUUCAAAAUCUUUAGUGGAGAUGCAGCAGGUUUCUUCAAAAGUUUUCUCAGCUUCAUGGUGGGAUUGGUGGUCAAAGACAGACAGACAGUGCAAAAAGAUCCCAGUCCUGACUGACUUUAGCUGAAGUUUGGUGAGGUCCAGACAAAGAGCCCUUACCUGGAAGAGCCAGUACCUUCUGGGUACCCCUCUCAACAGUGAUUAGGAGACAAAGAUGAUGUCCUUGUGCUGAUGAACACCUGUCUUACUCCUUUAGCUGGUGACAAUAAGGAAUGCUUUCAAACUUUUUAUGUUGAACCUGGGCUUCAGACAGACCCCAGAGGUGCGGUGAUGGGCCUUUUUUUACAAGGGAGGGAAUCUUUGUAUCCCUUGGAUUUGUUUACUUCACUUGUACAACAGCAUCCUUCUGAUACAGGUGGGGGAAGAUUUCAAAGUCCUCGGAAAUGAAAAAUGCAUCCUGGUUUCCUCUUGCUCCUGUGGCACAAUCUGAGAUUGCCCUCAGCUCCAACAGGUGACAACUCAUGGUUCUCCUUUUGCACAAAUGAUGCUCCUUUUGUACCAAUGGAAAGGACUUGCAGGGGCUGGAUUCAGCUUAUCACGUAGAUCAGUCAGGAUGGUAACUUUACAGCAGGUUAACAGUUUACUCCCUUGGUGGUCCUGUUCCUUUCCAGCCUUGGGGAGUCAGGGAAGCAGCACAGAGAGGGAUACCUGUCUGAAAGGUGUCUAUGUGGUAUAGUGACACCGGUUUUUGGGGCACAAGGACUAAUUAUUUAAAGAAGUUUUGACAGACCUUCUGCCAAGGUGCAAAAUUAAAACUGGUGAUUUCCAAGACAUUUUUUACUCGCUGGAUAUACGCUAGUUUUUCCUUCUGGAUAAUUCCUUGACAAAAAAGAAGGUGAAGAGGAGUUUUUUGAUGUCUGCUCCAAAUAGACCACUUCCCAAAUCCCUUCUUUGUGAUUUAUUGUGAUUUGUAAAAAGAACAAAUGGAGCCUGUAUCAACUGUGUGAAGGAAAAUGGAGGAAUUUGUUUUGUACUGACUAUAAUACAGAGGAUUUAUUAUUACUCCUAAUUGUAAAUGUAGUGAGUGGAAUGGAGGCAUGGAGGCAUCUUUUCAUGUGGACAAACAAAUGAGGCACUUCUGAGUAUAAUUUAAUAUCUGCAAAUUACCAUGGUGAGUGAGAAAAAAGUAAUGUCCACUACUUAAGUGGAUGUAGAGGAGAAGAAGGAGGGAGUACCUGUCUGCCCCAUGGUGAUAAUGGAUACUGCCCAAGAUGGGAUCUGCUGCCACUUGUUGUGGAGACUGCUCAAACUCCUCUUCCCAGGGGUCAAAGAAAACAGGCUAAACUCAGAGGUGGAAUUUACUGCUCCAAGAUGGAUAUCAGGAUGGGCAGUGACUCAUCAUCCCUCACCACUGCAGAUGGCAGCCCUGUGUAUUUGGAAGUGUGCACAAGUUUCCUAUGCAGCCAGGGCAGAAGGGUGCAGCAGAAACCAGCCCAUGCCUGCAUGAGCCGUGCCACAACUCGUGACAAACUCUGCUCUGCCUGGGACUGUGGGGGCUCCCUGGGACAGGCUGCCAGUGCAGUACAUGAGCAGCAUCACAAGCCAAGCAGCAUUACCACCACAGCUUUUGUUUGUCAUCACAGUUUUCCUCCAGAAUGGAAAUGGGACGUUUGUGGAUUUACCUUUUUUUUGCAUUUUAUAGAACAUUUAAUGUACUAUGUAUCAAUGUGUACCACAACCCUCACCAUUUCAAAGUAUCCUCAUAUAAGAGGUGCUUUGAGAUCAUGCUCUCAGCAUGGAGAAGAAGUAGCAAACUUUGAAAGGUUUCUUAUAGGGUUUUAUGAAUAGGGAAUUAUGAGUGGCAAAUUGUUCCAGGAGGCUUGAAGUUUCUGAGGUGUGCAUGUGCAAAAAAGACCUGUCAAAAAAUCAGGGUUCCUUUACAUGAAGCUCCUCUUGCCUGAUUUGCUCUAUCAACAGGGUAUGUUGUACUGAUCCUCAAGAAGCAGGAGGAGCUAAGUGUUUCUGAAAUCCUCCUGCUGUGUCAUUUUGAAAAGUGGUAUUCAUGUAAUGUGUACCCUGGAUCUCUUAUCGUCAAGCCAUUGUUCUGAAUAUUUCUGAAAUCCUCAUGCUGUGUUGUUUUGAGAAUAGGUAUUCAAGUACCACAGAUUGCUUAGUGCUGAGCCAUUUCUUGCCUGUGUCAGAGAUGACAGAAAGAAGCAGAUGACAAUAUGGCUGGCACUGGUGGAAAAAAUGCUAUUAAAACUCAUCAGAGGCAGGAUCCAGGGUUCCUUACUGAGAUAUUAUUUGAUCAAUUGGGAUGCAUAUGGAUUAACAAGGAGAUGAUCCUGUCUUAACCAGCUGAUAUAAUUUUUAUUUUGAGGCAAGACUGCAAAGAACUGCCAAGAGGCAGCCGGAGAUAUAAUUUAUGCAGGCUUCAUUAUGCUUUUGCAACAGCAAAAUGCAACAGCAACAAAUGCAAAAAGGCUAAUGUGUGAGGUCAGCAGCAUGGCACAGGGGUGAUGUGCUUGAAUGGAUUAAGGGGUGGCCUCAAUAUAGACUGCAGAGAGAUCCUACUGCUUUGGUGUGACCUGAAUGGAGGAGUAGAGAAUUACAUGGACAAGAACUGGACUGUUACUCUUAUUCAUACUAUUUAUCUGAAGCCUAAGGAAGAUGAGAAUACUGUAAAGCAAAAUAUUUGCAGAUAAUGCAGAAAUACAGAGCGCUGCCACUACAAAGAAACUACAUGUGUGAUUGGGAAGAUGAAUGACCUAGAUAAAAUUAAAGUAAUGAGGAGCUGGACAGAACAGAGGACCAGACUCUAAAAUAUCAUACUAUGCAGAAAUGCAGUUCAGGAAAAUUUAGUUCAUGGCUAGCAAAAGAAAUUUGAAAGAUUAUAACUGGUGCACAAGUGUGCAGAAAUUUACAGACAUCUUUGCAAAUAUUACAUAGUGGGUUUAAGUUUCUAGAAAUUACCCCUCUUUAGUACUGCACAGACCAUACCUGUACUAUCAUCCUAAUUUCUGAUCAACUGAGAUUAAAGAAUUAUUAUGGUGAUAGACAAAGAUAUAGCAAGAGCAAACAGAAUAAUGCAGGAAUGGGGGCAAACUAGUUGUCCCAAAUAUACCAAAGGAAUUAGGGCUGUACUUUCUUUCUCUUUUAUUGAAAGAGAAGACUGAGAGGUGAGAUAAUUUUGCUCCAUGAAGAUCUUGAGGGAAUAGGAAGAAUGGUUGAUGCAAGACAGUUUGAAUCUGUGUCAAAUGCAAGAAGCAGAGGGCACAAAUUAAAGUUUUGCAUUAUGUGGAGGGAGGUCCCGCAAGGAAUUUAGUUUAGAAUUCCUUUAUGCAGGGAGCAGAUAAUAUACAAGAUGCUGAAAAGUGCACUCUGCUAUACAAAAAGCCCAAUGGGAACACAAAUUUUUACUGCUAUGUUCCCCAAAGCCGCAUCUUUGUCUGAAGAGUGCUUUAAAGACAGCACCAUUCUUCUACAGAAUACAGGAGAGGGCUAUAAGAAAAAAUAACCUAUCUCAUCCUCGUGAGAAUACUCAAAGUGUUUCUCCUGGCUUAUUGGUAGCAUUUUCGGAGAGACUGGAUGUCUGAACCCUUUUGAAAAUUUUGGCUGUGAAGGAAUUGUUGCCUGGAAGAGUCAGUGAAGUGGCUUUGAAAUUACACAGGACUGGAACUGAAAUUAUGAGAGCCCUUUGGGAUGGAGGACUGAGAAGACUGAAUUUCUGCUUUGACUUAGUUUUUGCAAGUUUGAAAGGAUUAAUAAUACUGCAGCAGAAGAGAUAAAAAGCACAUUACAAAGUCUGUAAGACACAAAUGAAAAGUGGCAUUAUUUGAAUGACCCAAAAAAAUUACUUGGACGAUACAUUAGAAAAGGAUUUAUUUGGGAUAGACCUGAUUUUGCAAUGGAUGCAGGUGAAUUUACCUGCUCCUCUGGCACACAGGUAAAGGGUGGGUGAAAAUAUGAGUUUAAUAACAAGAAAAUCCUGAAUUCCCCCAUCAGCCUUUUUCCUUCCCUCUUUCUCCUACUGGUUAAGUGAA